CUCCAUCUCAGUGGCAGAGAAAGAUUGUCGGAGCUGCUACUGCCAACUGCCUGAUCAGCAUUGCUGGGCAGCCUCUGCUGAGCCUGGAUUUGACUCCCAGCUGCACACCCCCCGGACCUUAUAUUAAGGGACCUGCCAGGUCCUGUUCCCCAACCCUCUCACCUUUUUGGAGCUCAGUGUUCUCAUCUGUAAAAUGAGAAGGAACAGUGACAGUACAUGCUCCACAUCUAACGAGGGCAGGAAGGAUGCAUCCUUGCUCAUCCUGCUACUUCAGUGUCCUUCUAACAGGGAGAUUCUCUUGGCUGGGCACCAAGGACCACUCAGCAGACUCUAGGACCUUGGCAAAUUCCUGGAUCACCCAAGUUCCAGUAUUCUAUAAAAUAAGGAAUCACAUCUCUUCACAGGGCAUCUAAGAGGAAGAAAUGAGAUGUGUGUCCUACAUGCAGUAGGUACUCAAUAUUUUAUUUUUUUUUAUUUCUUUUUACUUUUACUUUUUUGUUGUUUUAGGGCCAUACCCAUGGCAUAUGGAAGCUCCCAGGCUGUGGGUCGAAUUGGAGUUACAGUUCCUGGCCUACGCCAUACAUAGUCGCAGCUACAGCAAUGCAGGAUCUGAGCUACAUCUGCGACCUACACCACAGCUCACGGCAAUGCCGGAUCCUUAACCCUAUGAGCAAGGCCAGGGAUCAAACCUGCGUCCUCAUGGAUCCUAGUUGGGUUCAUUACUGCUGAGCCAUGAUGGGAACUCCAGGAGGUACUCAAUUAGGUACUCAUUAAGGACUUAAAAGCUAGGAUGUUAGGCUCUGCCUUUUGCUAGCUGUGUGACCUUGGGCAGGCCAUAAUGUCUCUGAGCCUUAUCGUCUCCUUUGCAAAGUGGGAAUAAUAAUAUCUACCCAUCAGAACUGUGGUGAGGAACAGAUUUUAGACUAUUGGAUUUAAUGGAUCAAAAACCAUCUAGUGAGUAAUACAGCAUUGCCAAUCUUUUGUUUUUUCCAAGUGGGAAUAUUCUGAAAAAUAAACUAUCAUCUACUCUCACCAUAAAAGGAAGGGUAUUUUAAUACCAAAAUAUAAGAAGGGUUUGUUUUUUUGUGUGUGUCUUUUUUUUUUAGGGCUGUACCUAUGGCAUACAGAGGUUCCCAGGCUAGGGGUCUGUCUGAUCAGAGCUACAGCUGCCAGCCUACACCACAGCCACAGUUACGCCAGAUCCAAGCCACAUCGUGACCUACACCACAGCUCAUGGCAACGCCAGAGCCUUAACCCACUGAUCGGGGCCAGGGAUCAAACCCACAACCUCAUGGUUCCUAGUCGGAUUCAUUUCCGCUGCAUCACAACAUGAACUCCUAAGAAGGUUUAAUUUCUUUAAAUGAACAUAUCUUUAAAGAAAAAUAUUUUCCAAUGUCUUUUUUUUUUUUUUGACUGGUGACAACUUUAGUCUUGCACUAGCACUGGUCCUUGUCCAGCCUUUGGAAACCAUUAAAUAUGAAGAUUAAAUGAAAUGACAUGUGUAAGUAGCCGAGCAGAGCCUGGCACACAGAAAACACUAAAUAAAUAUUAACUGCUCCUAUUUAAUAUUAUUUUAUCAUCAUCAUACAUUAAAGUACUUUUUUUUUUUUUUGGUAUUUUUAGGGCUGUACCUGCAGCAUAUGGAGGUCCCCAGGCUAGGGGUUGAAUUGGAGCUGUAACCGCUGGCCUAUACCACAGCCACAGUAACACAGGAUCUGAGCUACCUCUGCAAUCUACAGCUCAUGGCAAUGCAGGAUCCUUAACCCACUGAGCAAGGGCAGGGAUCGAACCCGCAACCUCGUGGUUCCUAGUCGGAUUCGUUAACCACUGCGCCACGACGGGAACUCCUCUUUUUUUUUUUUUUUAAAGCUGGGAACCUCCAUAUGCUGCAGGUGCAGCCAUAGAAAGCAAAACAACACAAAAAGAAUAUUAGUGGCAACGAUUCAAUGAGUGUUUCGUAUGUUUCAGGUGCUCUCUGAAGUCUUUUACACAUACGAUCUCAUUUGUGCUUCAUAAAAGCCCCAUUUUUACAGAUAAGGCAUCAGAGAGUUUAUGGAACUUGCUCCAGGUCACCUGUUAGUAAACGAUGAGGCUGAGAUUCCAACUCAGACUCCGUCAUCAUGACCUUCUGCCUCCGUCCACCAAACGGAAGAUAUUGGAUAAAUUCCAAUUUAAGUGACAUAUUCCACAAAUAGAGAAAAGAAAUAAAAGAUGAUUGAGGGGAAGAGCAGCAGGCUGAAUUGAACUUGACUUUGAGCGCAAAGACAAGCAUUGGAAGAUGGGCACUUCACCCCAUAAUCAGGUCCAGGUUAUGCGAUAGUGUCAUGAUCUAGAAAUGUGUCAGUAGCAUUUGCAGCGCGGUUGAAGAAUUUCAUGUGUCAGGGGCUUCACACACCACCUUUAUGGAGAAGCUGGACUCCCCCAACUGGAUUUUUGGAAGUACAACCUCCCUUUGAUACUAUGGUUGGAAGGGGUUGGGAUGAGACUGAGAGAGGCAGGCUGGACUGGCUCUGAGCCUUGUUGAAGCUUUUGAAAAGCUUGGUAUUGCCAAGACAACAAGGGAACGUGCUGGGAGGGCACCACGUUCCAGCUGCAGGAGAAGUGAGGUGGGCAGCGGUGGCCUCCUUGUCACUAAUCACCUGUGUAGGACCCCAGGCGAGUGAAUCAGUCUCCCUGAGAAGCAGCCACUGCUUCAUUGCGCUGCACCAGCUCCAUGGCAGGGGCCAAAAGCCAGCUCUGGCGAUGGGCCCAGGCAGGAUUUAAUGAAACAAGAGGUCACAUUUUCCCAGAGCCUCUGCCAACACGUGGCCAGCGCCCAGCUAAAAUUGGCACUCGUGGUCACCCAAACCACCCUCCAGCCAGAAGCAGAAUGAGUGGCUUCUUGGAGGUGGUUCAGGCGCAGCCAUGCCCUGGAUCCUUGCCAAGCUGCCACUCCACAGCAGGGACCCAGGGAGGACCCAGCCAAGGUCCCUGUGUCUUGGAGGGGGCUGCCAAUGCCAGUUGCUCUUUUGAAGACAGGAGACCUCUGGGCGGAUUGCUGUCAAGCCUCCAGGAUUCACGGGAUGCCAAACCGUGCAUGCAUUCCGUCAUCUCAUUAUUUAUCUUGUUUCUUAUUAACCCAAACAAACACUUCAGCCUUGACAUCAGUGCUACUCAGCACAAAAAAUCAUACCCUCUUUGGGGUUUAAAUUGAUAGCAUUUUCUGUGUUCCAAGCACUGAUCUUAGCACUUUAUGUGGAUUAUCUACUUCUCAUAGCCACCCUUCACAGAAAGUGACAGGAAAGCUCAGAGAGGUGGAGUAACUCUCCAAGGGGCACACAGCCAGUGUGCUCAGAACCCAGGUUACCCCCGAAGUCUGAGCACCUCUCUCCCAUGAGGGUUUUGCAGAUAAUUAACAUUUAGGUAUUUGCGUCUCUAUUUUCUUCCCAAAUGGAUUACAAGCUCCUUGAGGGAUUGGACUGUAUCUUACUAAGGUGCUUCUAUAAUGUCUCCGUCAUCUCGGAUUGCUGUAACAAACACCACGGGAUGAGUGGUGGAAACAACAGGCAUUGGCGUUGCCAUUGUGGUUCAGUGGCUUAAGAACCCGACAUAGUCUCCAUGAGGCUGGGGCUUCGAUCCCUGGCCUUGCUCAGUGAGUUAAGGAUCCGGCGUUGCCAUGAGGUGUGGCGUAGGGCACAGCUGCAGCUCGGAUCCAGUGUUGCUGUGGCCUGCAUAGCAUCGGAGCUACAGCUGCAGAGACCGCCAGCUCUAGCUCUCAUUUGACCCCUAGCCUGGGAACUUCCAUAUGCUACAGAUGGGGCCCAAACAGGCAUUUAUUUCUCAGGCUGGAAGUUGGAGACCAGGGUGCCAGCCUGGCUGAGUCCUUGUUGGUCCUCUUCCGUGGGUUGUAUUCUCCCCUGGCCUUCCUUGGUGGGUGCCUGCAGGCUGUUCCCCCUUCUUCUAAGGGCACGGAUCCCGUCCACGGAGAGUGAGACGUAGUCACGACCUCGCUCUCUCUCAAGGGCUCUACCUCCUAAUACUAUCACGUUAGGGGUUCGGAUUUCCACAUACAAAUCAGGAAGGGGACCCAGGCAGUCAGUGCAUAACACAUGGUGUUCGUCAGUGCACUUGGGAAACAUUUAUUGAGGACCUACUCUGUGCUAAGAACUGUGCUAAGCAUUUGCCAAAACAAAGACCAAAAAAAUCAUCAGCUCUGUUCUUUGGAAGCUAAUGGUCUUCUGAAGGUAAUACCCAGGGAAGUGAGUGAGCUGUUACAAAAUACCUAGCACAGCAGAUCUGAGCAGUUAUUUAUAGACCAUUGACAUAUUUCCGUUUAGAUGCCAUGACCAAGAAUAUUAUUCUCAGAUCAAAUAGAUCAAGUAUUUAUAUUGGUCCAAUGGUGGGUGUCGCAUAAUUAGAAAUAUAUUUCCAGUUCCUGACGCAGAAUUCCUAAAUCCUUUGGAAUUUCCUGAGUGAUAGGAAAUAAAAAAAAAUUUUUUUUUUUUGGCUUCACCUGCAGCAUAUGGAAGUUCCCGGGCCAGGGAUCAAAUCUGAGCUGGAGCUGCAGCCUAUGCCACAGCAGCAGCAAUACUGGAUUCUUAACCCCCUGUAAACCAGCAAAGCCACAGACAAGCCGGCUCAUUAACCCACUGGGCUACAGCAGGGACUGCAUUGCUGAUGGGUCCCCAGAUAGCUUCAGGAUGGGGCAUGUUGCCAGAAAGACCACAUCUUGAUUAGAAGCCUGGCACUUUUCCUCAUUCUCAACCUCCAGGAGGGGAGAGGGGCUAGCAAUUGACUUAAUAACCCAUCAUGUCUACACAAUGAGACCU
rnacentral:lncRNA from 1 species